rnacentral:rRNA from 1 species
GACGAACGCUGGCGGCGUGCUUAACACAUGCAAGUCGAGCGGUAAGGCCCUUUCGGGGGUACACGAGCGGCGAACGGGUGAGUAACACGUGGGUGACCUGCCCUCAGCUCUGGGAUAAGCCUGGGAAACCGGGUCUAAUACUGGAUAUGACUCCAUGACGCAUGUUGUGGGGUGGAAAGCCUUGUGCGGCUGAGGAUGGGCCCGCGGCCUAUCAGCUUGUUGGUGGGGUGANGGCCUACCAAGGCGACGACGGGUAGCCGGCCUGAGAGGGCGACCGGCCACACUGGGACUGAGACACGGCCCAGACUCCUACGGGAGGCAGCAGUGGGGAAUCUUGCGCAAGUGGGCGAAAGCCUGACGCAGCGACGCCGCGUGAGGGAUGACGGCCU